UGCUGGUGGUAUCAUUGUUUUUGAAGGGAACUGGUAACAUCAGACUCAAAAGAGAAGGAUUUCCUUUGUUAAGCACAUCUAAACUCUGGUUUUGCCUUGCCAGAUUCAAAGCUAUGUGGUUUUCAGGAAUGUUUUGUAGGUCAGAUGACCUCAUAACACAUCUUAUGACCUCAUAACACAGUCACCCAAAGUGUCUCAUGUUGCUCCUCUUCACCACAGGGCAUGGGGAAGCCACUGGCCCAUAUUGCUGGGCUCCUCUGGUAGCUGAUCCCAUGGGGAGAAGUGUGGUGUGUGCGUGAAGCAUGCUGCUUCCCCCAUGAAAGUCAAUGGACACACGGAAAGCCUCCUGUGUUGCAGCAGUGUCAUGCCAGUUCUUCCCCCCUUCACCCAUGGAGCCAGCACAACGUUGUCUGAUGGGAGUUGGCAGGCUUCAUGGGUGAUCAGGGCCAGAUCAACAUUUGCUGUCAAUUUUAACCCCAUAUGAUGAGAUUGCUAGUGGACUUGGAAAUGCCUUUCAGCUAUAGUUUCCAACUGCAAAAGAGAUACUCCAAUGAACCAUCUUCUGGAAUAGUUGUGAAUUAGGAAUGGAAUGUUUGAUUUUCCCACUUCCCAGAAGUGGUCAAAAAGGAGACACCAGUAUUUCUUUCAAGAGUGUUGAAAUAUUCAUGAUCCCUUCUCCCUACCAAAGGAUAGAAAAUUCACCACAGAUUUUCUAGACACUCAAGAAAUUUUCUUCAGAAAACCAUAAUGUAUUGAAGAACAACUGUCCAAUGAAUUCGCUGGUAUCAAAGAAAAAAAAUGUUACUGCCUGCAAGAAACAAGGCAAGGCAUUCAGCAUGCAUGGAUCACUAAGAAUCAACCAAUCACAAGCUGAGCAGCACCUGCAUUCCAUAGAGCCAGUCACCAAACUAUGCAUGAACCUGGACCUCAAAACAAGCUAACCUGAAUGAAAGAUCAUUAUAUAUUUAUGCAAACAAA